GAUGAACGCUGGCGGCGUGCCUAAUACAUGCAAGUCGAGCGAACAGACGAGGAGCUUGCUCCUCUGACGUUAGCGGCGGACGGGUGAGUAACACGUGGAUAAACUACCUAUAAGACUGGGAUAACUUCGGGAAACCGGAGCCAAUACCGGAUAAUAUAUUGAACCGCAUGGAUCAAGAGUGAAAGACGGUUUUGCUGUCACUUAUAGAUGGAUCCGCGCCGCAUUAGCUAGUUGGUAAGGUAACGGCUUACCAAGGCAACGAUGCGUAGCCGACCUGAGAGGAUGAUCGGCCACACUGGAACUGAGACACGGUCCAGACUCCUACGGGAGGCAGCAGUAGGGAAUCUUCCGCAAUGGGCGAAAGCCUGACGGAGCAACGCCGCGUGAGUGAUGAAGGUCUUCGGAUCGUAAAACUCUGUUAUUAGGGAAGAACAAAUUUGUAAUUAACUAUGCACGUCUUGACGGUACCUAAUCAGAAAGCCACGGCUAACUCCGUG
rnacentral:rRNA from 1 species